GGGUAGGUGGCGGAGUGGACAAUCGCAGCAGACUGUAAAUCUGCCGGCCUCUGGCCUUCGGGGGUUCGAAUCCCUCCCUGCCCA
rnacentral:tRNA from 1 species